rnacentral:rRNA from 1 species
ACCCAAGGUCAUGCGGGAUUACCUGCUGAGUUUAAGAAUAUCAAUAAGAGGAGGAAAAGAAACUUUCAAGGAUUCUCUUAGUAACAGUGAGCGAACCAGGAACAUCCCAACCUUAGAAUUGGGUGGCUCCAUCAUCCUAAUUGUAGUCUGGAGAAGCGUUUUUAGUGGUUGAUCGGGCUCUAGCCCCAUUGAAAGGGGUGCCAUAGAGGGUGAGAGCCUCAUUGUACUCGGACCUUAUCGCACCACGAGGCACUAUCUACAAUUUAGGAUUUUUGGGAAUACAGCCUAAAUCAGGUGGUGUAUCCCGUCCAAGGCUAAAUACGGGUGAGAGACCGAUAGCAAACAAGUAUCGUGAGGGAAAGAUGAAAAGGACUUUGAAGAAAGAGUUAAAGAGUUCUUGAAAUUAUUGUUAGGGAAGCAAAUGGGGGCUGGCGAUGCACCCCGAUCGGAUAUCGAACGGCGAUGAGCCGGUCUGCCGAUCGACUCGGGACAUGGACCAGAGUGGAUUGAGGGAGCAUCCAAAACUCGGGCUCUCAAUACGCUCGUGGAAUGCCAUCUCCUCGAUUGUGGUAGGAAGUGCAUACCUCUGGCGUGCUUCGAUAUCUGCGUGCUUCGGAUGCUGGCUUGUGGGCUCCCCAUUUGACCCGUCUUAAAACAUGGACCAAGGAGUCUGACAUGUGUGUGAGUCAAUGGGCGAGUAAACCCAUAAGCCAUAAAAAGGUGAUUGGUGGGAUGCCCCUGUGGGGUGCACCAUCGACCGACCUUGAUCUUCUGUGAAGGGUUCAAGUGUAAGCAUUCCUGCCGGGACUUGAAAGAUGGUGAACUGUGCCUGAGCGGGCAAAGCCAUAGGUAGCUCUUAUGAAGGCCCGCAGUGAUACUAACAUGCAAAUCAUUCGGCUUAUUUGGGUAUAGGGGUGAAAGAUUAAUCGAACCGUCUAGUAGCUGGUUCCCUCCAAAGUUUUUUUUAGGAUAACUGGAGCUCGCGUUCGAGUUUUAUCAUAUAAAGCCAAUGAUUAGUGGCCACAAGGGCGCAAUGCCCUCGACCUAUUCUUAAACUUUAAAUAUGUAGGAUUGCAUGACUGCUUUGUUGAGACAUGCCAUGGAAUCAAGAGCUCAUACUGGGCCAUUUUUUAUUUGCAGAACCGGUUAUGCGGGAUGAACCAGAAGCCGAGUUACGGUUCCAAACUAUGCGCUAACCUAGAUCCCACUAAGGGUGUUGUUGAUUAAGACAGCAGGAUGGUGGUCAGAAGAUUCUAAAUCCACUAAUGAGUGUAUAACAACUCACCUGCCUAAUCAAUUAGCCCCAAAAAUAGAUGACGCUUAAGUGAAUGACCUACACCCAGCCAUCGGGGAAAGUUCCAGGCCCCGAUGAAUAGGAGGGCACGAUAGUCACUGUAAAAUCUUGGGCGUAAGCUUGACCAGAGAGUCCAUCGUUGUAGAUCUUAGUGGUAGUAGAAAAUAUUCAUAUGAGAGCUUUGAAUGCCAAAGAGGGGAAAGGAUCCAUGUGAACAAUAAUUGCACAUAGGUUAGUCGAUCCUAAGGGUCGGGGAAACCCCAAUAGAUAGCACGUUUCGCGUGUUCUCCCCAUGAGAAUUGGGUUAAAAUUCCUGAACAAGUAUGUGGUGGAUGAUGACAAUGUUAGGAAAUCCGGAGACGUCGGUGGGAACCUGAGAAAGAGUUAUCCUUUCUGUUUAAUAGCCUUCCUACCUUGGAAUCGGCUCAUCCAGAGCUAGGGUCCAGCGACUGGAAGAGUAUCGCACGUAUCAUGGUGUCUGGUGCGCUCCCAGUGGCCAUUAAAGAUUCGAAGGACCAAAUGUCAUCCAUGCGCGAUCGUACUCAUAACCGCAUCAGGUCUCCAAGGUGAACAACCUCUGGUCGAUGGAAUAAUAUAGGCAAGGAAAGUCGGCAAAAUGGAUCCGUAACUUUGGAAAAAGGAUUACCUCUGAGGGCUAGGUGCGGGUGUCCCAGUCUCGAACCUAUCAAAAAUUGGUAGACUGCUGGAGCUGCUCCUGCAACAAGAGUGGGUCGCCACGUGCAGGCCAUGGAACAAACUGGGAACGGUUCCUUUGGGGGCCUUCCACGUGCGUUGAACAGCUAACUCAGAAAUGGUAUAGAAAAGGAGAAUCCAACUAUUUAAUUAAAACAAAGCAUUGCGAUGGUCCCAGCGGAUGUUCACGCAAAGUGAGUUCUGCCAAUGCUCUAAAUAUCAAAGUAAAGAAAUUUAACCAAGCACGGGUAAACGGCGGGAGUAACUAUGACUCUCUUAAGGUAGCCAAAUGCCUCGUCAUCUAAUUUUUGACGCACAUGAAUGGAUUAAUGAGAUUCAAACUAUGCCUGUCUACUAUCCAGUGAAACCAUAGCCAAGGGAAUGGGCUUGGUUGAAUUAACGGGGAAAAAAGACCUUGUUGGGCUUAACUUUAGUCCGACUUUGUGAAAUGACUUGAGAGGUGUAGUAUAAGUGGGAGAUGAAAGGCGAAAGUGAAAUACCACUAUUUUUUAUGUUAUUUAACUUAUUCCAUGAAUCGAAAAUGGGGUACUGUCCCACUUUUAGGACCCAAGGCAUGCUCUGCGGGCUGAUCCGGGGAGAAAACAUAGUCAGGUGGGGAGUUUGGCUGGGGUGACACAUUUGUUAGAAGAUAACAUAGGUGUCCUAAGAUAAGAUCAACUAGAACAAAAAUCUUAUUUGGAAUAGAGGGGUAAAUCUCAUUUGAUUUUGAUUCCCAGUAUGAAUACGAACCGUGAAAGCGUCUCCUAAUGAUCCUUUAGACUUUUAAAAGUCGAAGCUAGAGGUGUCUGAAAAGUUACCACAGGGAUAACUAGAUUGUUUCUGCCAAGCGUUCAUAGCGACAUUCUUUUUUAUUCUUCGAUGUCGGCUCUUCGUAUCAUUAUGAAGCAGAAUUCACCAAGUAUUAGAUUGUUCACCCACCAAUAGGGAAUAUGAGUUGGGUUUAUACCAUCGUGAGAUAGGUUAGUUUUACCCUACUGAUGACAAUAUCAUAAUAGUAAUUCAACUUAGUAUGAGAGGAACCGCUGAUUCUAAUAAUUGGUUAUCGCACUUGGUUGAAAAGCCAGUGACAUGAAGCUAUCAUGUGUUGGAUUAUGAUUGAACGCCUCUAAGUCAUAAUUUGGGAUAGAAGCAUUGCAUACGCCCGUCGUCUGCUUGCUGACCCAUAGUAGUGGCCUCAUCCCCCAAGGGCACAUGUCGUUGGCUAAGCCAUCGCGGUGGAAUGGUCAAGGUGGCUGCCUUGAAGUACAUUUUCCAUCGAGCGGUGAGUAGAAUCCUUUGCAGAUGGCUUAAAUACGUGAUGG